CCGUUAGCUCAGUUGGUAGAGCAACUGACUUUUAAUCAGUGGGUCGCAGGUUCGAACCCUGCACG
rnacentral:tRNA from 1 species